rnacentral:lncRNA from 1 species
CCUUCUUUUUAAAACUUAUUUUUUUCCCUGAGAUUUUGCCUGUCAAGCUGGGUGAUUUUGUGUUUUAGAUCCUUUUCUGAAUUCUGUGGUUCAGUUGAGAUUCAAAUCAAAAUAGGUAAAAGGUAACUAGGCCAAGGCCAAAGGUAGUUGAUGUUUUGAUUGAUUUGUCUUGUAGUUGUGGUAAUUAUCCUACCAAGUAUGCUCUACCCCAACGGCCAGUUGACGAAGCAUGGCAAUUUCGACGAGAUGUUGUCAUUGUGGCUCGUGGGGCUGUUCAGCUGGUGUGGGUUUGGUGCGUUGCGGAUUUGGCUUCGUGCAGCGCAGAUUUAGUGUAGCGUGGUGCGAGUUUGGCCUGGGUGGUGUUUCACUGGUGAUAGUGAUAGCAGCACGCUGCUAUUUCAUGUGUCAAAUUAGGUUUCCAUGGAGACAUCAACAAGCCCCACUCACAUUGCUCCAACACAACCACAAGUGUGACGUCAGCAGAAUAGCAGCGUGCUGCUAUCACCGGUGAAACACCACCCUGGUGACGAACUUGACGGGGUGUCAAUAAAGCUGGAGUCACCUUCAGCGCUAGCCAGUAAAUGUGUAGAUAAAAGGAAGCUGAAAUUUAAAAACAAUCUAACCUUACCUAACCUUACCUAUUGGCUAUUAACAUACUAACCUAUACCCUACACCCUACCAACUGACGGUGAUGCCAGCUUUACCAUAAACCGUAGGUUGUAGUUUAGUAGGUAAGGUUAGGUCAGGUUAGAUAAUGUUUUGUUCUGUUAGACUAGGUGGGUAUUUGAUUAGAUUUAAAAGCGAAUUUUGUGUAAAUGUCUCAAGAACUGGAGAGUCUAGCGACUUCACAAAUGGGUGGCAGCAUGUGAGAUGCCUGCUAUAUGAAUACCAGAAAUCCUUCUCUAUGCCUCAACCCCCUGUUCUGGGCUGGGCGGACACUUUCAUCCCAUGUGGGAAGCUCCCCUAGGAGCAUACACGGAGCCAGGUGCAGUGUCAGGGACAGGGUGCCCUGUUCACUGGAUGGGCUCAGCCCCAAUGACUUGUACCAGGGUGUUUGCCCAUACCAAUAGCUCCCCCUAAUUCCUAUCAUUCCUCCAACUCUGUAGUCUUUUUGGGCCAAAACUUGAAAGGCAACCCAACAAAACUUUAAAUUGAUUUUUAACUUGUGGCAUAGUACUUACUAUUUUGCCAGUCUGACAACAUCCCAUUACUGCCUUGACUGGCUUUCUUCUCUCUCAGGCUGAUCCUGUGUCACAGAGCCACAUAGAUGAGCAGCUACCCAUCGUAGGAUGCACACUCAACCUCCUGCUAGUUUCUGAGCCAAGUCAGCUUGACAGAGGGGUCUGCUAAUGCACAGCCACCUAGCCACUGCUAACAGAUGCUGGCUGGGACAGACGCUCAUCAAAGGUGUGCCACACGACAUGGGCAUUCUCGUUCUGCAUCAAGCCUCAAGGUGCCUCAGCCAAACGGCAGUGAGAAAUAAGGGUUGGAAUAAAAGAAGAGGACUGAGGAGAAAAUCCAUUUACCACAAUUUUAUCACUGUGGACCAUCGCGAAUGCGUAGUGUAAUAUACCUAUUAACUUAGUAGCCCAGCACGCUCAAGAGAUCUUGGAAACUGGACCACCCCAGAUCAGUAGAUGCAGACAUGCACGUGCAGACGAAACACCAGCGCCAUGCAUGGGGUCCAAUCUCACCAUGGAAAUGCCAAAGCACACAGCUCAAGCCAUGCUGCCAUCCACAUGACGUGCGGCCAGGCUCGUUGCUGUCGGCGGUUCUGAAGACAGCGGUUCGAUCCAGCUGAAGGACGUCACCCAGCGUCCCAAAAUUUGUUGAUUUGGAUGCGAAAUGACAUCCAGCUGAAAGUCAUUUUCCACUCUCACCUCCAACUUUUCAGAACAAUUUUCUACUCUCAACUUUACCGAGAAAAGCAUUGUGAGGAUGGCCAUUUUGCAUCGCACAUUUUACCACACUCGUAUAUAGAAAUUUAUGUUACCUACCUAUCCUUUUAUCACUCUUUUUGGGCCUUAUCUGACCAGCAAUUUUCCACUCACAUCCCCCUUUUUGCUGAUAAAUUUUCCCCUCCGGCACCCAAGCCAGAAUGCAAUUUUGGGACACUGACGUCACCUGGCAGGAAGUUGUAGAGUGUGGUGGCCAGUAUCAAGCCACAUUGUCCAGAAACCAUCACAUUAUCUCCAGGUCACUAGUCGCCGGUGCUCGAGCUGACGGCGUCGUUCAAGGGCUCCACGGUGACAAGCGCCGUCACCGCUGCCGCCGCCGCCGAGACCAUCCGACUCCUGGGCCCUGUUUCACGGCAGCGUACUGCAGCGCGCUACGCAGCGCUGCUGUGUUAGUGCGGCGAUUGAGACGAAUUCGGCUCGACGCUCCAGCGUUGCGAAACACCCGUGUCUAUGAAGGAUACGCCGAUACGUCUUCCAGCUUCAAGCCCUUCCCGCCCCCCCCCCCCCCGCCCCGUCCCAACGGUGUUGGCCGAGAUUGGGGUUGGUAUUUUAACGGGCUCUCCGAUGACGUCCCGCAAUUUGUGUUAUGUAAUUUGACAAUUAUGUCGUAGUCUCAUUCUGUCUCGAUAUGCUAAUAAAUGAUAAAUGGGACGGAGGUUGGAAGUAAGGUGUGAGUGGCUGUAACCGGCAGGUUUUGGCGAGCGCGAUAUUAGUUAUUGUGAGCGCGCCAGCUGCAUUAAAUCGCGCGCUUCUGGCGAGAAAAGACUUGCUCUGGAACCUAGAAGUUUGUCGUGAAAUCUAUGUGCCUUUGGAUUGAAUUAUUAGAACAUAAUGUACUUUCGGUGUCCAGCACUGCAGCUCUGGAAAUAGAAAUAUGGAUGUUGGCUGUUUGAUGUAGCAAGGGCUAACAAUCUGCGUCAAGAAUCAAAAGCUGUAUGCAAAUUAAAGUGAAUAUAUUUCAAUGAAUUUUUAAAUUUUGUGAUACAAAACAUAAAUGUGUCAACUACUGAUUACACCCGGCUGCAAACACUGUAACGCUUGCAAUGCUGUACGGCAAAUAAAUAAUAUAGAUUCUC